GGAAGGUGGGAUGACGUCAAAUCAUCAUGCCCUUAUGUUCUGGGCUACACACGUGCUACAAUGGCCGGUACAGACGGACGCAAAGCCGCGAGGUGGAGCAAAUCCUAAAAAGCCGGUCUACAGUUCGGAUUGCAGGCUGCAAUUCGCCUGCAUGAAGUCGGAAUCGCUAGUAAUCGCAGGUCAGCAUACUGCGGUCGAAUACGUUCCCGGGCCUU
rnacentral:rRNA from 1 species